UACGUAGGCAGCAAGCGUUGUUCGGAAUUACUGGGCGUAAAGAGUGUGUAGGCGGUGCUCCAAGUCUGGUGUAAAAUCUCCCGGCUUAACUGGGAGGGUGCAUUAGAAACUGGAAUGCUAGAGGAUGGGAGAGGUAAGCGGAAUUCCUGGUGUAGCGGUGAAAUGCGUAGAUAUCAGGAGGAACACCUGUGGUGUAGACAGCUUACUGGACCAUUUCUGACGCUGAGACACGAAAGCGUGGGUAGCAAACAGG
rnacentral:rRNA from 1 species